rnacentral:rRNA from 1 species
UGGGGAAUAUUGCACAAUGGGGGAAACCCUGAUGCAGCAACGCCGCGUGAGUGAUGAAGGUCUUCGGAUUGUAAAGCUCUGUCUUCUGGGACGAUAAUGACGGUACCAGAGGAGGAAGCCACGGCUAACUACGUGCCAGCAGCCGCGGUAAUACGUAGGUGGCAAGCGUUGUCCGGAUUUACUGGGUGUAAAGGAUGCGUAGGUGGAUAAAUAAGUCAGAUGUGAAAUCCCCGGGCUUAACCCGGGGACUGCAUUUGAAACUGUCUAUCUGGAGUACAGGAGAGGAAAGCAGAAUUCCUAGUGUAGCGGUGAAAUGCGUAGAUAUUAGGAAGAAUACCAGUGGCGAAGGCGGCUUUCUGGACUGUAACUGACACUGAGGCAUGAAAGCGUGGGGAGCAAACAGG